rnacentral:lncRNA from 1 species
GACCAGAAUCUAGUAAGCAAAAAGGUAAGUGAUGAUUUUUGAUUUAAUAAGGUUGUACAGUACUAAAAAGGAUAUUAGGUAAUUAAUUAAAACUAUAUACAGGGUGAGUUACUAAGCCUGUUAUUUACGUACAGAUCCCGAAAUAUUUUAAUACCUAUGAAAAGAUCAAAUUUAUUGUAUAAUUGUAUUUUUUAUAAUAUAACGUAAAUAAUACAUAGUUCUUUAGUUUCAACAAAACAUUGCAAUUAUUUCAAAAAUCUUAAACAAUACUCAAAUGAUUAGAAAGUUUUACAAUGUCUAGAAAUGAUAAGGUAAUUUUGGUAAAUUUUCCGUUUAUUUUCAGUUUGAUUUUGGAUUUUGGAAAAUAAAAAAAUACGUCCCGAUAAAACAAUCUGGAUAAUAAUUCCAUUUAGACAUUUCUGGUAGAAAUUUCGUACAAAAUACAAAAGAACAAAAUAACUAUCAUAGUGAAAAAUAUAUUCCCAUUACUCUAAGAAUCUUAUUAUUUUAGACUCGGAUUAGAAUGUGUCAUUUUGUACAAUUAAAAUAAUGAACUGCACACAGUUAUUAGCAUAUAUGUUAUUAUCAAAUGCAUAUUAUAUCAAUGAAACUAAAACUGCAGUAUUGCCAACAAUAUACUCGACUGAAAUACUAUUAUAAAUCGUUGUAUAUAAAAACAGAAACAAUAUAUUUUCAUUGAAUUAGUUGCAUAGAUAAAUAAGUAAAUUAUAAAAUAAGCUGUGAUAUUUAAAUUAUUUUUUCUAGCGCCUCAAUCUAGUAGGACACCGGGUAAUUGAUUAUUUGAUUUUUAAUAUGUUAGGCAGUAUUGAAAAGAAAUUAUGUAACUAAUUAAAACUUUAUACAGGGUGAAUUAAUAAGCCUGUUAAAUGGGUACAAAUCUCGAAAUAUUUUAUUUUCUACGAUGAGCUCAAAAUGGUUUAAGUUUUUUAUUUUAUUUUUAUUUUUUUAUUUUAAUGAAAAUUAUAAAUAAUUAGGGUUAUUAAAGAGCCAUUGAAUUUCAAGGAAAAUAUAAAAAUUAAUUCAAAAAUCUUAACAAUUUCUCGAAUUAUUUUAACAUUCUACCAUAUUUAGUAAAGUAAAUAUACAUUGACUAUGACUAAAUAUACAUAUACACGACUGAAAUACUAUUAUAAGUCGUUGAAAAUAAAAACAGAAACAAUAUAUUUUGUAUUAAAUUAAUUAUUUGUAUUAACUACAAUAUUUUGUGGUGGAUUUGCACCGUAGUUUAUAUUUUCAAACAUUGUUAUUCGUACAGAUCACGUGUACCCACUUAAAAUAUGUUUGUUUAUAUAAACUUACCAUACAUCCGAGGUCGUUUUCUGCAUAAUAAACAUUGACACAAAAAAAGAAUGACUGAAACAGUACAAUUUCGAUAAUUGCGAAAGCGAAACGUACGUUUUGCUUGUUCGGUGAACAAAUCGUAACUUGCCAGUAUAUAUGUAUUAAAUUGAUAAGCUGUAUAGAUAAUAAACAAAAUGUAUAGUUAGUUGGGCUAUUCAAAAGUAAAGCAAUUUAUUUUUCUAUUAGGACCUAAUACGGCACAACGUAAGUGAUUUUUUUUUUUAAUUAUUCUAUGCAGUUAUAAAAACAAAAUAAGUAACUAAAUAAAACCUAAGACGAGGUGAUUCACUCUCGAAAACGCCAUAUUUUAUGCGUACUAAGCUAAAAAUAAUGAACUGCACACAGUUAUUAGCAUAUAUGUUAUUAUCAAAUGCAUAUUAUAUCAAUGAAUCUAAAACUGCAGUAUUGCCAACACUAUACUCGACUGUAAUACUAUUAUAAAUCGUUGUAUAUAAAAACAGAAACAAUGUAUUUUCAUUGAAUUAGUUGCAUAGAUAAAUAAGUAAAAUAUAAAAUAAGCUGUGAUAUCUAAAUUUUUUUUUCUAGCGCCACAAACUAGUGGGACACAGGGUAAUUGAUUAUUUGUUUUUUAAUAUAUUAUGUAGUAUUAAAAAGAAAUUAUGUAACUAAUUAAAACUUUAUACAGGGUGAAUUAAUAAGCCUGUUAAAUGGGUACAAAUCUCGAAAUAUUUUAUUUUCUACGAUGAGCUCAAAAUGGUUUAAGUUUUUUAUUAUAUUUUUAUUUUUUUAGUUUAAUGUAAAUUAUAUAUAAUUAGGGUUAUUAAAGGGCCAUUGAAUUUCAAGGAAAAUAUAAAAAUUAAUUCAAAAAUCUUAACAAUUUCUCGAAUUAUUCUAACAUUCUACCAUUUUUAGUAAAGUAAAUAUACAUUUUCUGUCACCAUUUUUAAUUUCUACGAAUAUUUUUAAUGAAAUGCAACUAUACAAUAAUUACAUUACGUAGUUUAAAAAAAAUAAAAAUAAAACAUCAUAGUAAAUCAAUAUAUUCCCAUAACUCUCAGAAUCUCAUUAUUUUAAACUCGGUGUGGAAUGUGUCAUUUUGUACAAUAAAAAUAAUGAACUGCACACAGUUAUUAGCAUAUAUGUUAUUAUCAAAUGCAUAUUAUAUCAAUGAAUCUAAAACUGCAAUAUUGCCAACACUAUACUCGACUGUAAUACUAUUAUAAAUCGUUGUAUAUAAAAACAGAAACAAUA